GGAGGAUGCAUUUAGUCAGAAACUAGACUCUCUCAAGCUGGAGAGAGAGAACGUCGCAUGCACAGAGCGCAGGAGGGAAGGGAACAAGAGCAUCGCAUGCGUGCGUGCUCUCAUAAAGUAAACCUCGCAUCUCCUCUCACGUUCACGCAUGUACACUGUAAGCAUGCUUUUCAAGGGAGGAAUUCCCCAUCUUGGAAAUUAAACUGCCUGUUCCGUUCUCUGGAUGGCUAAGACGCAGCAUUCGAUGGCUGAAUACUCAAGGACUGCGAGUUCUGAAAGGAAAACGCAUCGCUGAAGAGAUGCACUGAAGAGUUGGGCUUUUGACUAUAUGCUUCUGCGCUGCUCAGAGAUUUUAGCGUCAUGUUAUUUAACGCGAGACGCACGGGAACCUCUAUUUGUGCCCGACACACGGCCACUCGUAGCUUACUUUUUGACAGAGAGGAAUAUGCACGUCAGUUGUUAAAAGUAAGCUUUUUAAAUCACCCAGUUAUUUCUGCGUACUCUUGUGCAUUUGUAUUUUUAAACGUGAAUUGACUCGUAGCACAGCUUGAAUCACUGAAUUGUUUUGGUCACAAUAAGUCUUAGUAAUUUAGUAGUCUGUAAGUGGACUUUAAAUUAUAAAUAAAUGCAUAUUUGCAAAAAUGCAUGCAUGUAUGAUACUAACAUUUUGCGUGGAUUGCUUAUAACUGACCCCAUGAGACAAACAAGGCUAUGUUGAGUGGUAAGUGCAUGUGGCCCUCUGUACUUUGUACAUUCACAGCAGGUGCAUCUGGAAUGUCUGGAACAUUUUCAUGAAAUAUGUAGCGUGUGUAUCUUUAACAGUAAUAUGAAUAGGCGGCAUAGUAACUACAUAACCUAAGAAGCCUUUUUUAGUCAUGUUGGAUUAUGUACACUACUUGUAUGUUUGCAGUGCUUUAGUGGCAAAAUUAGUGGCAUUCGAUUUAGUAAAGCAUGUUUAUUGCAUUACUAUUGUCUAUAAUUAUAUUUAUAAAUAAAAUAGCUCUAUAUUAAUUUAGUCUAUUUGCGGACAUUUUGCUUAAUGCAUGCUUAUAUAAAUAGCUUUUAUAAUAUAAUACAGUUUGCAUAUACGUGAUGAAAAAGCUUAAUAAUUUGUCUCAUUUAGAAUUAACACCAAAUGUAAUUAACAAUACAUUUAUCUAAAUUACGUCACUUUUACGUGAGGGAAACGUGGGUUCAGUAGACAAGUUUUGAACAGUCAGGAAACGUCUUCAUAGUUUCAAAUGAAAAAACAGAACUGUUGAAAUAUAUUUAACAUGCGUCCCUGUAAAAUAAAAGUUGCAUAAUAUUAACUUUAUAAGCUAUUUGGGUCUUAUUUCAUAAUUUCAUCAUUUUGGAGAAAAAGGUAAGAAUUACAUGAAACUGUUGGGUAAAAGGUCUUACCCACUGCAGUUUGCGGAAUUAUAAUGCACGAGAUGAAGAUGAAAUGAUGCAUGGUGAUGUAGGCGUGAUAACUGUCUGAUUGUUGGGGCUUAACGAGCCAGAUGAAAUGGUUAGCCAUAAUAAUCGUCAUUUUUUAAGGAUUAUUAGUGACCAGAAGGGACAAAAUCCCGUUUAGAUUAAUGGAAACCCUGGCAAUAACUCCAAAGGCUCAAUUUGAAACGCCUCCAGAUCGCAACUUCAGGCCUUGACUAUUGUGGAUUAUGUCUUCACCACGUGCUAAAGGUCUGGAGGACCUCAUAAGUCCAUUCAACACUUGACUUGUUAACAGUAUUUACAGGUCUAUAAAAAGAGUGUGUAAUUUGAGUGUAAUUUAUUUAUUAACCAUUAACCAUGUUUUCGUUUAUCAGGUCAACUUUAUGAGAUGUUCCACAUUUAAAAAAAAAAAGAAAAGAGCGUUGACAGGAGGUAGUUGCUAUCUUUGGUUAUCUAGCUGUAUGAGUGUUUAUCUUCCUUCAUAAAGCUAGAUAACCGAAAGUAGAAACGUCCUCCUUAACUGCAUAGUGGACAAGUUGGAAAGCAAUGAUCGCAGGGAACUGCAUGAGCCUCUCAAACUGCAGUGUCUUUGUGAGAGACCAGAGGACUGGAGCUAAGGGGGAAAACGCCAUCUGCAACUGCCAGCCAUUUACACUGCUUUUUUGGAGCAAGAGGGAGAGAGGAAAAAAUGGUGCAAUUAUCCAAAUGAAAGAAAAGAAAAAUAAUAGUAAACCCUCAUCCUUCUUCUACCAGCUCCCCUCCCGUCUUCGUCAACGGAAGCAUUUAGUGCCAUCUGUGCCCCCAGAGAAAAGAGGAAAAAAAGAAAGGAGUGAGACUCUCCAUCCCAAGUGCCAAUGGGGACAAAGAGGCUGCCAGUUGCCACGGACCACCAGAUGCUGGAAGACUGCAAGUCUGAAUGAGGGGUGUGCUUUCAGGAAGCCAUCUUGAUGGAGAAGCUGGCUGCAGCUCCCUAAAAUGGCUGUGUUGGCAUGAGGCUCCUGGAAAUGAAACUGAAAAAUCCCUAUCGUUGUCAUCAGCUACUGGAGAAACUGAGGCCAUCCUGCUAUGUUUGACUCAAAUGGUCAAUCACAUCACCUCAGGAAUCCAGCGUCCAGCAUCUCUUCCAGAUGGUUCGCUGUGGAAAUUAAACAAGCAGAUGAGGGAUGGUUUAAAAUGUGCACUAAUUGAUUUAACUGGGUGUCUUAAAACCUUGCAGUCUUCAGACAAUCACUUAUCACUAGACAAUCACUGGAUGGGCUUGUGGAUUUGGGCUGCUCACCCAAACAUGUUGUACAGUCUUAUCAGUGCUAUAUAAGCUGAAGAGAAUAAUGUGCCUUAAUGUGUGAAAUGUUUACAAUGAGAGUUGAUGUUAAUGUCAAUGUCUGGGAUUUUGCAUUCCCUAUUUUAAAUGGACUUUUAAUGCUUCUUUGUCUUGCACAAAAGGGUAUGAACUUUCAUGUUAGGCAUUCGGUUUUUUUAUGUUAUUGUAUUUACAAAAUGUCCCAGUUUCAAUGGAUGUACAGGAAAUUGUGCUUAAUCUAAAUAUUUUGUAUUGGCUAUACUGUAUGCAUGGAGUUUAUUACAAGAAUUAUGGUCAGUUUCUCUCUGGAAUUUCAUUUAACUGAUUAUGUGAUGUAUGAAACAAACUUUUCAAACUGCACAAAUAAACGACAUUAAAGCA